UUUUGCUUGGCCUCGUCCCUCUCUCUUGCCCAUGUCUUUUUCAGACAGCGCCUAUUCGGGAUCCUGGAAUUAACUGACCUGCCAGGCGGGUUACAACCCUAGACUAACUGACCCGCUGGGCGGUUACAGUGGCUCCCGAACCAGGAACUUGAAGCACGGCCAACUAUCGGACGCGCAGUCCCAGGACGACACGAUCAAGAAGAGAAGGUUCUAUCGGACGAGCCCUUCCUGCUCCAGCUGGGUAUCACUCCACAGCGCUGAAGAUUCUCCAAACACAGAGAGACGGGGAGAACCUCACAAGAGCGGCACCCGAUCCAAGACAGGCCACCAAGUCUCUCCCAGAAGAUUUCUGGGGUUGGAGAUGCCUCUCCUGGGCCAGGAACUGCAAGCUGCAGAGCUCCAGGGUUGAACAAGGUCAUGCACCUCUCCAGUGUGCAGUGGAAAAGGAGAAUAUUGAAGCUAGCAGCAACCAAGAGCGAGGGUCAGAGGCAAAGGAUUCUGGGAGGCUGUGCUGGUGCAGCAGCCAGCGGCAUCUCUGUUCAAGCCAUUAAGCAUGGCUGCUUCCCUGAAGCCUGCGUCCACACAGAGGACUUCAGGCACUUGAAGGCAUGACUCUAGCACCAUCUCCAUCAUGUCCUCACACGCUCAUUCUCUUGCUGUUCUUUGAGUAUCUACGUACGAUCUAUUGUUCCCCUAGUCAACAAAGCAGACAGGCCCCUGCCCUCAAAGACAGACAGUGCCAUAUUGUAUUAACUCUAGGCAGCACACCUUCUCCACCCACCUACAGUGGUAGAGGGAUAAGACCAACUUUUUGUGGGGUUAGCCACCAUGGCAUUGUGACUGUAGGAAGGAAGAGCCAAUGCUGCCCCCUAACUAAUACCAGGAGUAAGGCACCGCUUGGCGCAAACCCAGUCAGUGAUGAGGACCCUGAAGACUACAAGGCAGUGGGAUGCCUGUACCCUGAGGGGAGACUUCUCAGGGAAAGCUCUGCUGGAGGAGGAGCAGGCCGAGGCCUGUGACUGAGAAAGAGGGAAGAUGGGAGAGGUCUCCUGGUUAGCUCGGACCAGUGAUGAGCCAAGUAGCAAUGAAAGACACACAUCCUGGGCACCGUGCUUCUUUGUGCAGCCCAGGGAGCAUCAGCACGUAAGGUGCUUGGUACCCACCGCCGACCUCUACUCCCCUCACCCCAGCUGCACCCCAUCACAAACCCAAUCCUCCCUGAGUGUUGCUACCAGCUUAUGCAUAUUCCCAACGACGGACAUGUGUGCAAGCCCAGAAAGAGGACACUUCUACCCGCUCUCCGGUCAUCGAAGUGGCCCUUUCUAUGUGGCCUUAGGCACAGCACAGGUGACACAGGCUAUUUAUGGCACUCAGCAUCCUUUUCCUAUUCUCGAUCCAUUUUCCAGCUUUGUGUUCUCUUGGCAGAUGACAGAGCUAUCGUCAUUCAGUGAGACGGAUGGGGACCAGGCUUUACAGUCAACUGGCAGUGUCACCGACAACGUCACAGAGGGUUUGCUCUAUCCCCAUGCAUGGGGCAAGUAUGUACGAGGUCCCUAAUUCACUAAAACUUGCUGAGGUGGCCCCUAUCAUUCCCCUGUUCUGCCCUGUCCCCCUGCCCCAGUCUGGCCUAGAACUCACUUUGUGGACCAGGCUGGCCUAGAACUCAUAGCAAUCCUCUAGUAACAGUACUCUGGGAUUAUAAGCAUGCACCACUGUGCCUAUCUCGUUUGCCCAUUUUUCAGAUGAGGACACUGAGGUCCAGAAGGGAAAGAGUCACCGUCUUGGCAAGGGUCACAUAGAAAGAAAACACUGUGGAAAUGGAGGUAGGCCGUUUUUUGGCCUCCCUAAUCUAUGCUGCUGUGAGAUGGGCUGGAGCCAAGGUUGCCCUUGGCCAUACUGUCACUCACCACUGACUGACCCCACGGUUGACUAUUGAUCUGAUAAAUUAGCAGCUGGCUGGCUCCAUCAAAAUGGGAUUCUGCAAUUCAAUUACUGCUCGGGACCGCAGCCUUCAUCCUACCAGGCUGCUCCUGCCCCAGAGCUGGGGAGGCAGAGUUAUCCUCUGUGCUAACAGAGGAGACUGUGGCUCUGUUUCUUGGGGAGGCAGCAUGAUAGCGAGGAAGGGGCGUGCCGGCCAUGCCAGCAAGGAUGGGACCUCUGAGCUUCAGGGAGGAACCCAGCCUCAGCUCCCAGCUGUGCAGAGAGACAUCAGAUACCAUCACACUCCACCGAGCCUUAACUGCUGCACCAGGAAACUGGGUUCCAAGAAACAACUUGAUGGCAUUGGGCGGUGGUAAGGCCAUGGGGUGGGGGGAGAGAACAGAAACUCUCAGAAGAAGAAAAAGGACUGGAGGAGAGUGCCAAGCUUCCUCUGUCGGCACCUCCAACCUGCACAGUGCUCUAUGUAUCCUAGUUCUUCAUCUCCAGAAUGACUCUGGGAGCCGGAGGGAUUCUCCAUGGUUAAGAUCCCUGACUGUUCUUGCAAAGGACCUGGAUUAAGUUUCCAGCACCCACAUGAUGUCACACAAACAUCCCUAACUCCACUUCCAAGGGACCCCCAUAUAGGGCUAAAAAGUCCAAGCUCACCUCAGGGUUUUGAAAACCCACCAAUCCCUGAGCUCAAAAACCCACCCAUCCCUUAGCUUGAUCCUAGCUCAGGACUUGAAAUCCCAUCAAUUCCCAUCCUGGAAAUCUCCACCAUGGAAAACUGUGCCCCCAAGAAACCCUAUAUA